rnacentral:lncRNA from 1 species
CGGGUGUACAAUGAGCAAAGUUCAGCAAAAGGACGGCGUUUUCUGAGAAAAAAAUGACAGGCUGUUGGUCCAGAGCAGCAUCUCUGCAGCUUAGGACCACCAGGCUGCCAUCCCGGCACUGUUCUGCUUGCAGACAGCGCUCCAUGUUGUGGCACUCAGAGGGCGUCCCUCUGCCGUGCAGCCCUCCCCAGUGCCUGCCUACCUGUCACUGCUCCAGAUGGGAUGGAGCUGUUUCCUUUGCAGUGCCUGCUAUCUUUUCACAUGCGUGCACCCCAUCCCUCUGCACAACCACGAGCAUGAAGACUCGAGCACUGCUCCAGCCUUGCACACUGCCAUGUGCAUGCACACAGAUGCAAAACUUUCACCUGCAAGCACUGUGCACACAGCCAAGCGCAAUGCAUGCUCUGAUGUUCAGCCCCACCUCUGCACAACCCCGUAUGAACGCAUACCUGCACUCACAGCUCGAGGACAAAAUGCUGCUGGCACGGCACAGCCAACACGCAGGCGGUGGGCAACAUCAGGAGGAAAGGCCCCCCUUUACGCUCAUUCAUUCUCCUCUCUUGAAUGAACGCAUUGGUGCACAGCUGGAGCCCCAUCCUGAGAUGUGGAUUGCUGCGGGGUUCUUCGUUGGUGGGCUAUGGGGAUCCUGGGAUGGUAAUGGGGGACCUGUCACGGACUGUUGGACUCUGAGAUCCCAGGAGAGGACUGAGGGGGUAAGGGAGGUGUGAGGAAGAAAACAAGGGGUUUCAGCGGGAGCUCAGAGGGGGAUGUGGGCUGCUGCUGGGGACUGCAGGAGCCUGUGAUGGCCCAGCUUGUCUGUGGGGGAGAUGUGCUGAGUCUGAGAAGGUCCUUGAGGAGCUAUAGGGCUCUCUGGGGGUGUGUUUGGUGGAUAUAGGGACAUUAAGGGAUGUGGGAACACAGGCUGCAGGAGCAGAAUGCUGUUCAGGAGAAGACAAGACGUGGGCUGCAGGUGGGACACAGGGGCAUGGGGUAGUAUGGGGACGUAGAGAGUAUGGGAGGAUGUGGGGAGCGGUUUGAGGUAAAAAGGGGGGGGGAGUGGACAGAGUUUGCAGUGGUUUCAUUUCAUCCUGAGAGGGGACUGGGCGUCCCUGUGGCCCAAAGGUGGGGCCCUGAGCCGUUACCCCACAUGAGCCAUAACCCAAGAUGACCUCAUCGCCCUGUAUGUGCGUGACCCCAUGGCUGCACGUGACCCACAGCCCUGAUGGGAACCAUACCCCCACAUGACCCUGUGACUCCCUGACUCUUCCUGCCCCCAUCAUGCUGCGAACUGACGCCAUGUGGCCCAUAAAUCUGGGAUCCUUGCC